AGAGGUUGUUACAGCUGCAGAACUACACCACUCUGAUGGGUCUCAGUAGUAGCUCCAUCUCACGCCUCAAAGACACACAGUCUCACAUUAGCAACGAUGUGAGCAAGGGAUGGUAGUAUCAGUCAGGAGACGAUCGACUACAUCACCAAGGCCAGCUCUUUCCUGAACAUCAAGAUGGGUGUUCAUCCACACGUUUUUAGAGAUGACCUGCAGGAAGCCUACACUUUGCCAUCCCUGUAAAGGCGUUGUAAGAAUGCCUACUCCAACUAUGUAAGACUCCAUGUAAAAGCGGUUUUAAUCAUAAGGGACAUAACAUAUGAAUCAACAUGGUGGAAACAUUUAGUACCAAGACCUGUGUGUACAAAUGAUGUCUUGAAACCCCCCAUAGCAGAGGAUGCUCAAAUUAUGACUAGUGUUGUUGCGAUUGUGGAAUAAGAUAUUCAGAAAACACCAUUUAGGAAGUAGAACAGUAAGGGUGCUGAUGGUAAUAUUAUGUAACAAAACACACCCACACACACCGGUUCUGUUUCCUAUUUUAAAAGUGUUUCUCUCCCGUUUUCUCUUUCGGUGGACACUUCAUCUUCUGCUUCAUAGCCUGUGCACUAACUUUAGCUCUGUUCUGUACUAGUUGUUUUGAAUCAAUCAAGUUGUCUGCAAAAUGACUUGACUCCUGAGAAUGCUGACGAAGUCGUGGUUUGUAACUUUCCUUAACUGCUCACUGUUGAUUUUAUGAUAGAUUUGAAUUGCUUCCUGCAAUAAAAUGAUCAUUCAGCAAUCGGUAUCAUUUUGAAAGUUACCACCAACCCUGUCCUUUUAAACGCUAAAAAGUGACCUACGCAGGGUUUUUACAAGAUAGAUGUGUAAAGGUACAGUAAUACAAGGAUCUGUCAGAAUUCUGCGCCCCACGCACAAUGGUAUGUAAUAUAGUAAUAGUUUAAUAUACUGAACAAAAGUGGAAAUGUAACAGUUUCAAAGUGUUUACUGUGUUACAGUUCAUAUAAGGAAAUAGGUCAAUUUAAAUAAGUUCAUUAGACCCUUUUAACUAUGGUUUUCACAUGACUGGGCAGGGGCACAGCCAUGGGUGGGCCUUGGAGGUCAUAGGCCCAUCCACUGGGGAGUCAGACCCAGCCAGUCAAAAUGAGUUUUUCCCCACAAAAUAGCUUUAUUACAGACAGAAAUACUCCUCAGCACCCCUUUCCCCUGAUGAUCCCGUAGGUGAAGAAGCUGGAAAGGAGGUCCUGGGAUGACGUGGUCUGCAGUUGUGAGGCUGGUUGGGCGUGCUACCAAAUUUCCUAAAAUAAGAGCAGGGCUUAUAUUAGAGACCUCUCUACUUGAAAUCUGUGGCAUUGUGUUGUGACACAACUGCAAAAAUUAAGUGGCCUUUUAUUGUCCCCAGCACAAGGUGCACCUGUGUAAUGAUCAUGCUGUUUAAUCAGCUUCAUAUACCACACCUGUCAGGUGGAUGGAUUAUCUUGGCAACUGAGAAAUGCACACUAACAGGGAUGUAAACAAAUGUGGGUGCACAAAAAUAAGCUUUUUGUGCAUAUGGAACAUUUCUGGCAUUUAAAAAAAAUGUAUUUUAUUUUAUUUAUUUGCCAGCAGCAUACCACCCUGCAUCCCACUGCUGGCUUGCUUCUGAAGCGAAGCAGGGUUGGUCUUGGUCAGUCCCUGGAUGGGAGACCACAUGCUGAUGGAAGUGGUGUUGGACAGCCAGUAGGAGGCACUCUUUCCUCUGGUCUAAAAAAAUAUCCCAAUGCCCCAGGGCAGUGAUUGGGGACACUUCCCUGUGUAGGGUGCUGUCUUUCGGAUGGGAUGUUAAACAGGUGUCCUGACUCUUUGAGGUCAUUAAAGAUCCCAUUGCAGUCAUUGUAAGAGUAUGGGUGUUAACCCCAGUGUCCUGGCUAAAUUCCCAAUCUGUCCCUCAUACCGUCACGGUCACUUAAUCAUCCCCAGCUUACAAUGGCUCAUUCAUCCCCCCUCCUCUCCCCUGUAACUAUUCCCCAGGUCGUUGCUGUAAAUGAGAAUGUGUUCAUUUACCUGGUUAAAUUGUUUUAUUUCAGCUCAUGAAACAUGAGACUGACACUUUACAUGUUGCGUUUUAUAUUUUUGUUCAGUGGAUAUUUCGGAGAUUGUUAUUUACCAGAUACCAUUGCUCAGUGAGACAGUCAGUGUUUGCACUGUACCUCAAGCAAAACCUUUCCAAAACCCAUUGCUUAGUUGAACACAAAAGCAAUAUUUAUUUUUUGGGGGCGCAUGUUUAGUCAUUAUCCAAAGCAACUGAGUUAGUGCAUUCAUCUUCAGAUAGGGAGGUGAGACAACCACAUCAGUCGUGGUAAGAACAUUUUCCUCAAUCAAAAAGAAGUGCAGGUUUUAUUUAUAUGUACUUAAAAUAAGAUGGAUGUCUUAUUUUAAGAUACUCCGUGAAGAGGUGGGGUUGUCUAGGGUAUGCUAGCUAUCGAGCAAUACAUUAGCAAUGCCAGUAACAAUCCUAUCUGUUUUCAGAUGUUCCUAAAGAUUUAACCUCACAGCAACCACUCACACUCUUCUCCAUUCUACCCUGUGGGGUGAGCUGUCACAAAGACUGUUGCAGCCACCUUGCUCUUGAGUGCUGCAAACCAACAAAUGUGCCGGUCACGAUCCUUCAGUGUGCCUGAUAUGGUUUAGCCCCUACACAUCCUACAUCCGAGCAAAUUGCGAAGGAAGCACCCGACUCUCUGGAGGAUGAAGUGUUUGAUGUCCACCUUUUUUGAGUACAGUCUCACUUCGUCGGGUGUGUACUCCACAGGGAUGCUGGCCGUCAUUUGUCUCCAAUGCUUCCCACACUUUUGUCAAGGUGGCUGCGUGUCGUUUGGGUGGCGGACCAUUCUAGACAGGACAUUUUUGAUGUCAAAGGCACGUGAAUAUUUUGUCUUGCCCGUUCACCCUCUGAAUGGCACACAUACACAAUCCAUGUCUCGAGGCUUAUAAAUCCUUCUUUAACCUGUCUCCUCCCCUUCAUCUACACUGAUUUUUGAAGUGCAUUUAACAGGUGACAUCAAUCAAGGGAUCAUUAGCUUACACCAGUCAGUCUGUCAUGGAAAGGACCUGUCUCUAAUUUUUCUGUACACUGUGUAUGUCAACAUCUCCUAGUGUGAGCAAUGUGCCUGAUCAAAUGCUGUAUCUGCAAGUGUUUUGACGUAGUCUCUACAAUUCCUAUCUCAAGUUAUCCUAUUUUUAUACUGCAGUUCUCUAUUUCCUGAAUUAAUUGUGUGGUCCACUUACUAGUUAAUUUUCACAUCAGAAUGAAGACCAACAUUGACAAGAUCACAAAUGUUUCCCAUGCUGCCAAGCUGAACUUAAAUGAGGACCCGACAGCAAUGACACUCCGACGAUCUGUGUGAUAGAAAUGUUUUUGCUCCUGUUUGGAUACGCAAUGCGCGCUAAGAACGCAAUGCACGCAAUGCACGCUAAGAACAUUGCAAAUUCUCUGACUUUCUCGAGAAUGUCCACAUUUUCCCCAUGUUUGAGAGCUAUUGAACCUGAGGAAGGAUUGUGUAACUAACUAUAUGUUAACUUGCUAAUGAUACUUUGAUUCAGUCAUUGCAUGUUUUGCUGAUUUGUGUAUUUUAUUUUCUGAUGAAUUAAUCCUUCAUUCUCUUGGCCAAUAGUAUUAUUUGCCCAGAGCUUUCACAGUAGGUAAACCUGGAGUACAGUUUCUCCGCUAGGUGGUGAGGUUUUGUGUCAACACUGCAUAGCGUAGGCUACCCCUGGGAUGUAGCAUUCUGUCGUUCUUUCACAUUCCCUGUUUUUAGUGUCGCCCUAUGUUUGUGUAUAAAAUGUGGGAGUGAAUUGUUGAUGACAAGGUAAAUUGAGGUUCUUUCCUCAGCUAGCCAACCAUGUUCAUGUUUGAUUACAUUGUAUUGUGGUACAAUUUUUAAAAGGCAGAAAGAUCUUCUAUGGUUUUAUAUCAUAGAAUAGAGAUGGCAUCAUGCCCAACUACUUUGGACGUCGCUACCUGUGUACAUACAAUAUGCUGAGGAGUUAUUUGUCUCGCUCUGUUACUCCCAAGUGAUCCUCCCAUGAGGGAAGGCAAUUAAUUUACUCUGAGCAGUGGUUUCUAGGAACUUCAAUACAUAGCUGAGAUGAUUCUCUCCGGGAUUGUCACACUGUAAAAUGUGAUAACAGCACAAAUAUAGGCUACAUUUUAUACUUAUUGCUUAAGGUCCGAGGGGUUGUGGUAUAUGGCCGAUGUACCACAGAUAAGGGCUGUUCUUAGGCACAACACUGAACACUUAUCCGUGGUAUAUCGGCCAUAUACCAUAAACCCCCCGAUGUGCCUUAUUGAGAUUAUAAACAGGUUACCAAUGUAAUUAGUGGUAAAAAUAAAUGUUUUGUCAUACCCAUGGUAUAUGGUCUGUUUAUAAACUGGGUGGUUCAUGUCCUGAAUGCUGAUUGGCUGAAAGCCAUGGUUUAUCGGUCUGUAUACCACGGGUAGACUUUAUUACUAGUGUAGCCUAUAAGCAGAUGUAGGCAUUGGGUUGUUUUACACUUGCCAAUAUACCAUGGCUAAGGGCUGUAUCAGGGCACUCUGUGUCGCGUCGUGUGUAAGAACAGGCCUUAGCUGUGGUAUAUUGGCCAUAUACCACACUCCCUCGGUCCUUAUUGCUUAAAUAUACCACACCUGUCAGCCAAUCAGCAUUCUGGGCUCGAACCACUCAGUUUAUAAUAGCCUAUAAUUUUGAAAUCUAUUCCUAUUGCAAAAAACACGACUUAAAAACAUUCUUCUUUAUAUUUUGUGAUAGAGCUUAUCAAUAAUGUUGUCUUUCAAACAGAUUCCAAUUUAGAGCAUUUUGUUGUGUUGGACUUUAGUAGAUAUUCAGUUUGAGAAAUAAUGUUUAGUACUUUUGUGCUGUCUUUUAUUUGAACCACUCAUUUUGCAAACUUGUAACCUUCAGGUGUUGCUGGCACUCCUGUCAACUUCCAAUUUGGUAGGCUGAAGAUUUGUCACCAUAGUAACUCCACCUCUGGCAUCCUGUAGGAAUUUACUGGCCUGUGAAAACUGAAGCCAUCUCACAAUGGCUAGUCCUAUUUAUAUUGUGGUCGUUUUUUUUUUAAUAACGCAAGCAAGGUUAUUAUUGAGGGAGAUGUCCAAACCCGUAUG